UACAGAGGGUGCGAGCGUUAUUCGGAAUUACUGGGCGUAAAGCGUGCGUAGGCGGUUAUUUAAGUCGGGUGUGAAAGCCCCGGGCUCAACCUGGGAAUUGCAUUCGAGACUGAAUAGCUAGGGUACGGUAGAGGGAAGUGGAAUUUCCGGUGUAGUGGUGAAAUGCGUAGAUAUCGGAAGGAACACCAGUGGCGAAAGCGACUUCCUGGACCAGUACCGACGUUCAGGCACGAAAGCGUGGGGAGCGAACGGG
rnacentral:rRNA from 1 species